rnacentral:lncRNA from 1 species
CAAGGUGGGGGUCUCCUUGGCGAUCAGCCGGGGCUGGGCUGGGGUGGGGGGCGGCUGGGCCUGAGAGGCCACCUUGACUGGGGCCCGGGCCUCCUUCCCGCCCCGCCUCAGGGCCCGCGGGAUCGUGGACAGUCGCCGUGGGUGCGGCCCGGCAUAGGAGGGCGCCUCCUCAGAGUCGUAGAAGCAGUACACGGCCUCCUUGGUGGGCGUCCUGAGGCACAGGGACUGCUUCCCCCCUUCCCCCCAGCCUGGUCCAAGUGGGUACUUGCGGGCUGGCCCAGGGGCAGCUCCAGCCCGGUCCGGCUCCUGCCUGUUCCCCGGCCCUGCUCCGGGCUCUGGCCAGCGCCCCUGGCUUUGAGCCGGUUCCUGGAGAUCUGGCUGGCUGGGGCCGCGAGGCCGGGGGGCUCCCGCCUGUCCAGCCAGCCUCGGGGCUGCUCCCUGGUGGGCCCUUGCAGGGUCUCCUCGCUGAGGGACGCGGCGCUGGAGAAGCUGACCGGAGUGCCCUCGGCCGAGUCGGUGCACGAGUCGUCCUCCUGGGGCCCGGGUGGGCACCAGCAUGUAGACGGGGAUGGGCAGUGCCCGGCGGCCGGGCACCAGCGCCAAGGCCACCUUGCAGAGCCGCACGGGCACGGCCGCCCCCAGGCACUCGCGCAGCAGCUCCAGCGCCGGCCCCUCCAGGCACUCGCGCAGCAGCUCCAGCGCCGGCCCCUCCUGGCGUCCGGCGGCUUCUCAUCAACGGUGGCUGGCGUGGAGGUCGGGGCAGGUGGGCAGCAGCAGCCCCAGCUCCAGGUCCUGCUGCACGUAGUGCUCGUGCAGGGCCAGCACACUAAGUCUGGAGGCACAGAAGUUCUUGUCCAGCUUCUUCACGGUGAAGCGGAUGCUGCAGGCAUCCAGCUCAGAAGGCAGGCGGCAGGGCUGCCAGCGGUUGGGGAUGUCCAGGAAGUGCUUCCCGUAGCUCUCCCACUGCAGGCUGACCUGGCUGUCCUUGGGCUGGCCGGGCUGCGCGGCCAGCAGCGUCUUGCUGCUGCUGGGUGGCAUGGUCUGCCCGAGGCUGUUGGGCAGCUCCCUGGGGCUCACCAUGCUGCUGCCCAGUCCGCCUUUUCUCCAUUAGUUUAUUUCCCAAAUGCCGACAACAGUUAG